rnacentral:rRNA from 1 species
GACGAACGCUGGCGGCGUGCUUAACACAUGCAAGUCGAACGGAAAGGCCCUGCUUUUGUGGGGUGCUCGAGUGGCGAACGGGUUAGUAACACGUGAGUAACCUGCCCUUGACUUUGGGAUAACUUCAGGAAACUGGGGCUAAUACCGGAUAGGAGCUCCUGCUGCAUGGUGGGGGUUGGAAAGUUUCGGCGGUUGGGGAUGGACUCGCGGCUUAUCAGCUUGUUGGUGGGGUAGUGGCUUACCAAGGCUUUGACGGGUAGCCGGCCUGAGAGGGUGACCGGCAACAUUGGGACUGAGAUACGGCCCAGACUCCUACGGGAGGCAGCAGUGGGGAAUAUUGCACAAUGGGCGGAAGCCUGAUGCAGCAACGCCGCGUGCGGGAUGAAGGCCUUCGGGUUGUAAACCGCUUUCGCCUGUGACGAAGCGUGAGUGACGGUAAUGGGUAAAGAAGCACCGGCUAACUACGUG